AGAAGCAAACAGAGACCUUCUGACAUCAAUAAAUUGGCACUGUACGAAGACCUCCCAAUGCUUGAUAUGGAGCACGGUGGGGAUAAACGAUCUGUGUCAGCCCUGCUGGGGUCCAUAUGGUCUAUCACAAGGUUCUCACUCUACAUCACAUCCGUGAGCUAUAGAUGAACACAGGCUGUCUGUUUACCAGUCAUCCUUCAGAAAAACUUAUGAGGGCCAGCGGAACAGAAAGUGAGACACAGUUGUCUUGGGUUUUGGACUUGGCCUCCCUCCAGCUGUGUGUCCUUCCCCUGCCAUCCUUACUGAAGCUCCGGCUGCACUGGCAGGCUGGGGAAUGCUUUGAAUGUUAAUGAAAUAUGUCAUCGUGAGUUGUCUCAGUAAUUAAUUGUUCACAUCACAUAUUUGAAAGGCCACCAGGAAGCAGUCCCAGUGGCACUGUGGCACGUUGCCUGUCUCAGAAUAGAGCUCCACUUUGAGGCUGGAAUCAGAGUGCAACUCUUGAAGCCUAAAUAGUAAUAUAAGCAGCCUUUGCUGUGUGAACAUAAUAAAAAGCACAGGUGGUAUUUGAAUAAACUUUUUUUUUUUUUUUUUACUACACCAUAAGCACCACCAAACCCCUUCACUCCUAACCCUAUCUUCUCUCUUCCAUUUUAUAUAUUAUAACCAUAGCAUUUAAUGCUUAUGUAUAUAAAUACAACAUAUUGUGUCAGGAGUAGCAAAUGAUAGACACAGUGGGUGUGGUGUCAGGCCUUGGAGAGGCUUUUACUAAACACAAAAUCAACAUAAAGUGUCCGAAACGAGGAAUAAAGUGUCCAAAAUCAGCAGGGGAUCUGGUGUCAUUGUCAUGGUGAGGAAGUCGUGAAGGGAAGGGCAGUGUUCAGGAAGGAGGAGUCCAGACAAGGGGCUGAGUCUGGUGGCCACACGCGCUCCCCACUUUGGUCCGGGGAGCGAGGGGGCGGCGGCUUCUUCUAGCGCUGGGUUCCUCAAUUAGUUUUCACAGAUGGCCAAAUUCUGCCAACAAUACCAAGCCAAGGGCCACUGACCUAUAUAUAUAUACAUUUUUGCAUUUAGAUACAGAAGAACCUUGCCUGUUGAAUAUUAAAAACAAAUGAACAAACAAAAAAUCUGGAUCUCCAUGUUUGCCAUGCAAAUCAACUAUUUCUGCUCAUCUCCAGACUGGUUCUCUUUUCUCCACUUUCUCUAAGUGCAGAUUCAAUUAUUAGAUCUGUUAGCAUUAAUAUUUUAUACUUAGAUUUUUUGGGAGGAUCAAACUGUAACACAGUGUGUCCAAACCAGACAUGACACGAUGCAAUAAAAAGUAUCUUUUCCAUGUAGUUUUUGUCCUAACCACCGCGACACAUGACAGUAAGCGAAAUGGAAUUCUUUUUUAGAAAUUAUUUUUUAGGUUUUUAUUUUCUGCGAUGGAACAACAUACAAAAUAUGACAGUGAUACUCUCAGGUAAUGAUUAUGUGCUUUAUUCAAU
ensembl:lncRNA